rnacentral:rRNA from 1 species
GGUGAACGCUAGCGGUGCGCCUAACACAUGCAAGUCGAGCGGUAUUGAUAUUACUGAUUUCUCCGGAAUGAUGAAAUAUUGAGAGAGCGGCGAACGGGUGAGUAACACGUUGGUAUCUGCCCCCAAGUCAGGGAUAGCCAUCCGAAAGGAUGAUUAAUACCGGAUAGUCUCUUUGGAGUAAAAAUUUAUUGCUUGGGGAGGAGCCUGCGUCCUAUCAGCUAGUUGGUAAGGUAAGAGCUUACCAAGGCUAUGACGGGUACCUGGUCUGAGAGGAUGAUCAGGCACAAUGGAACUGAGACACGGUCCAU